GGAGGUUGUAGACACCCAGAUGAAGAGAUGGACUGUGAAAAUUCUGAUGACACACAGAUGAGACAGGGUGGAAAGGUAAAAGAUUCUUAAUCACUUUCAGGUCCUAAGGGUUAACAAAGGCACAUGUGAAGGCAGGACAUAAUCACCAACCUGGGAAGAACCUAGCAGACUUUAGGAGGCCUGAAUAGCUCUUGUCACUUGUCCUUAGUGUCAUUGUCAAGCCUGACUCUACCACUGGAUACAUGCCUUGGUGCUUCAGUACUGGUCAGAGUGCUUGGGUGCAUCAAUCUUGGAGCCAGACUCCUUGGAAACAUGGUGGUGGAGUUGCUGAAUUCCUACUGAUGGAAAGAGUGAACUUGAAGAAUCAACAGAUGUUUUCACCAAGUUGAAUGAAUAGAAUAAUUUUAUAUCCUGGGAAAAACAGCAUUGACAAUGAUUAAGUGUAUGUAUACAUACUUCUUCCUUGCUGGACUAAGCUGCAACAUGAUACAUGGAAAGUUAGUCUGUAUCUUCAGUAUUUCUGCUGUGCCUACUGAAUAAGCAAUAGACUUGGAAUGGACUUCAGCAAGAAACUGGAAACAAUAGAUAACAGAGAAAAGUCCACAACCACAAAAAGUACAGGCAAUUGAAAUAAUUAAAUGGUGAAGAAAAAGAUACAAGAAAACCAAGUGUGGGAACAUGUACAUAGAUUGCCAACUUGCCUUUGUGGAAGAGACGUGAGAUGGACAGGAAAAGUAAUUUAUGAACUAUGGACUCUAAAAGAGAUAAGAGAUUUUUCUGCCUCUUCAAGAAGAACUAGAAAACCAGAAGAUACCUGCUUCAAUUCUGAAACCAUCUUCAUUUGUCUUAGUCCAUAGAUACCUUUGCUUAGCUAUUUGUUAACGUAUCCAGAAAGAUCUAAGGUGUAUACUGCACACAGAGUUGUGUCGUGUAGAUAAUUAACUAGUUACUUGACCAAGAAAUGUUUUUGUGUGUGACUUGGGGAGAAAAAAAAAAGUUAGACUUCGUUCUAUUUUAAUGCAAAAGUCCUUUUUGGAUUCUGUGCUGCUUAUGAGCACUUUCAUCUCUGAAUUUGUGCAAGGCUGUAUAUUGUUUUGCAGUAAAGAAACAAGCAAAGAACAGAUCAGAAUUUAUAAAAGUGAGAUUAGGAAUAUGUUGCAAUUUACUUAUUUUUAUUAGCUUUUGGUCAUUACAUGUUGCAUUUUCUUUUUAAGUAUCUGGCAUGUUUUUCAGCUUAACCUUUUCUAUUUGUCUUUUUUUUUUUUUAACUGAAAUGUGUGUGUUUAGUUCAAAUAAAAAAGGCACUUAGUAUAGACUUUCUUUGGUC
rnacentral:lncRNA from 1 species